GACGAACGCUGGCGGCGUGCCUAAUACAUGCAAGUCGACCUUCGAUGCGACGGGUUCGUAACACGUGGCUAACCUCCUAUAAGACUGGGAUAACUUCGGGAAACCGGAGCUAAACCGGCUACUUAUAGUUGCAUCCGCGCUGCAUUAGCUAGUUGGUAAGGUAACGGCUUACCAAGGUAACGAUGCAUAGCCGACCUGAGAGGAGGAGCGGCCACACUGGAACUGAGACACGGUCCAGACUCGUACGGGAGGCAGCAGUAGGGAAGCUUGCGCAAUGGGCGAAAGCCUGACGGAGCAACGCCGCGUGAGUGAUGAAGUUCUUCGGAUCGUAAAGCUCUGUUAUUGGGGAAGCGGUACCGAAACAGAAAGCCACGGCUAACUACGUGCCAGCAGCCGCGGUAAUAC
rnacentral:rRNA from 1 species